rnacentral:rRNA from 1 species
AUGCCAAGCUACCCUCCUGAGAAGCAAGCUCGGAUCAUCAUUGCAUGUAUAGCAUUUCAUAAUUGCAUUAGAGAAAGCAAUUUGAGAGAGUUGGAGUUUGACAAAUGUGAUCAUGAUGAAAACUACAUGCCAGGGAAUUUACAACCACUACCCAAAGGACAUGUUUCCAACAUUGUGGUUGGUGACGAUGCAACCAUGAAAGCAACUCGUGAGGCGAUUGCUAAUGGAUCGAUGGUGGAUCAAGUAUAG